rnacentral:tRNA from 1 species
GCCUCGGUGGCUCAGUCGGUUGAGCAUCUGACUUUGGCUCAGGUCACGAUCUCAGGGUCUGUGGGUUCGAGCCCCGCGUCGGGCU